rnacentral:lncRNA from 1 species
CCGGUCUCUUGCUUUAGGCGGCACAUUCUCUUGCUGUUCAUUUGCAUCCCUGACCUGGAAGCCAAUACAGUGUAAGCACACGUGUCCUCACAGGGGUAUCCAAGCUUGUAUGUGCAUCACUGGUGAGACAGCUGCUGGAACUAGUGGACCAUGGGAGGAGCAGCUUCUGGGCUACAGCUAUUUGGAUUGUACAUGUGACAACUGGGCAGGAGCAGCCAUUAAUGAUCAUGAAGUGGAAGUCCCAUGAUAGGAUGGUGGAACCAUAAGCCUCUGUUCUGGCCAUGAGAUCCCUGGACUAUCGCGGAUGCUUGUGGAGCAAUUUGUAGAAGCCAAAAUACAUCUUAUUUUUACCUGACCCAUUACAUCUGCUAAUGACUUAGGUCAACUGGGUUUCUGAAGUGUGCGAGAAACUGGCUCCCCCAGCUGGGAAAACUGAAGGCCAAGUGAUUGUUCAAGGACACCUGAGCACUAACUAGUUUCUCUCUCUGGAGAAGGAUAUGGGUUUGCUAAAGCUGGAUUUCGUUCAAGAACCAGGAGAAUCCAAUCUGGCCAUGUCUCCCUUUGAGCAGUUCCAGGAACCAUGAGAAGCUAUGCUGAAAUAUGUUGUACCUGCUUCUGUCUGUGUGGCUGUCAUGCUUCCAAUAAGUUUCCGUAUCUUGGCUAGGUACACUGAGCACUUAAUCCAAUGUGAUAGACUGGUAUAUGUGUGUAAGCCCAAAAUGCUGGGGAGUGAAAUGAUGGACUGCUUUUAUCUUACUCUAGUUCUUGACCUCUCCUAUUGAAGUGCCAGGAGAAGGAUGAUGGUUACUAAUAAGCAUCAUUUAUGCAAUCUCAUAACAAUUUCUGAGUAUUUGGCUUUGCUUCUUACUGAUGUGAUGGCAGAGAUGGGGCUGCCAUCUUGGACCAUGAAGCAACAAGCAUGAAGACAUACAAAGGAUAGUUGAGUGGAAAGAACAAAAAAAGGUAUUGAAGAGUGAAAGAUCAAGAGAGAAUGAUUCCUUGGAAGCGGCAGUUGACAAAGCAAAUUACAGAAUAUACUCAGUGAGAAUCAGAUGAAACACGGGAGAUAAAAGGCUCCGGACCAAGAGGUCCCAGAGAAGCAUUCAGAGGAGAAAGGCUGCAACCAGGAAGUCCACAUACUCACAGCUGCUUCCAGGCCCCGGUGCUCACCCAGUAACAAAGCCACUUCUGUCUGGAAAAACCACAGCAAGGCGAGGCACGAAGCAGAAAGCCUUUAAUUGGGGUGGCGAAUGAGCGGCCCUGUGAACUCCAAAUGCCUCCAGCAGGCUGGGGCACGCUUUUUCUUUCCCUUCCUCUUUGCCCACCCGUUGAUGGCCUCGCUCUCCAGGGCUUCUCAACAGGCAUUGUUGGUCUUUUGGCUUCUUCCCUGCUCUGGGUCCUGAGCCAUCUUUCUGCCUUUUUGCUAUUCCGCCCUGAGCAUGCUAUGGGCCAGUGUCCUGGGUUCUCAGCUCACCCUCUCUCCAUCAAGAUGUUUCUAUCCGGGUUCUACCUCCUCAAACCUUGCCAGGUGACUGGGCAUCUAAACUAAUAAUCCAGUAAUAAAAUCAGUGGUAACUAAAGGCUGAUAGCCAAAUAUGUUAACCCUUUUUAUUAACAUUUCCAGAUUAAUAGUGGCCUUUGGAGCUUCAACUCAGAGGAAUUAUUUAUCCGGGAAAGUUGGGCAGUCGGUGUCCAGAGAUUAGGGACUUUUGGGUUGGACAAUCCCUGGUUCCCAUGAAAUUGCUCCAUGAAAGAACCUUCUGAGCAUAAUUGAGCCAGCCUCAAUGUCCCCAGUUAAAGCUUUUUGGUAUUGAUCCAACCCCACGUUGAUCUCAUCUCCCUCCACACUGAAAGAAUCCAAUCUAUUCUGCACUAUUUUGUGCUUGUUUAUUGUGGAAGCCUGAAUGCGUUAUCUAUUAAUGGAAUUACUUCCUAAUCCUCUGCAAGCGGCAGCUUCCAGAGAAGCCAGCAAGGGCUGUGAGAAAAACUUUAAAGCCUCUAAAGCUUAAACUGAAAUUUAAAUUUACUUAAAAAGACUAGCAACAAUAAACAUGGAUCAGUUGUUCUCGAACUAGAUACUGUCCAAGAAGCUCUACAAUUGUGUUGUGUAAAAUAGUUGCCACCAGCCACAGGUGGCUGUUGAGCAUUUGAAAUGUGAGCAGGACAACUGAAGAACUGAAUUUUUAAUAUUAUUUAAUUUUAACUAAUUUAUAUUUAAAAACUGAAGCAGUAUAUUUUUUCCUGUAAUAAACUCAUUUCUCUGGUAGGACUGCGUUUCACAUUAACCAUUGCAGUGUCAGAUAUUAUAUUGUCAUGCGUCUGUGUUGUUUCUAAUGUUACAUAUAAACACAUAAUCGAGUAGUUGGGAUUCAGUUCAAAUUAUUCUUUUCUAUGCAUUGAUGUGACACAAGAACGUGUUUAUUUGAAUACUGUAUGCAGGCAGCAUGAGUUAAAGUGAUACUCAUAUAAAUUAAAAUACUUAGUAUUUUAAUUAUAGUAUAAUUAAACUUUUUUUCUACUUAGAAAAUAAGUAUGAAUGAAUUUUAGAUUUCAAAUGAAGGCAUGCUACUAAUGGAGAAUCAAAUGGAGAUGUAGAAGUAGUACAACAGUAAAGAAGAGACUGGAAGAAGGUAUGUUGCCAGUUUCACAGUGAAUGGCAAUUGCAAUUUGCUGUGGCAGAGCUGUUUAUUGUAUAAUUCUUUCCUAAGAUAAUAAAGUGGACAAUAUUAAGAGACAUUUUCAGGAAAUACAUACUGAAUUUUGGUAAGAAGUCUCCUCUAAACAGUAAAAAAGUUGAUAAGAGAAGUCACCUGAAAUUGGAAUUAAGUGUCCAAUAAAAUAUUUUACAUAUACAAACACACACACACACACACACCAUUUAGCUGGAAAAAUGGUAAAAUAAAUUAUGAGUUUAGUUAUGGAAAUUGUUAGUAAAUUAUGAGGAUAGAGAGUAAAACAUAUUUUACAGAAAGUAAAAGAUUUUAUGAAUAAAAACUAAAAGAUUUAAAAAAUAAGUCAUUAAACAAUUGCCUAAACAUGAACUUUCAACAAUAUAAAUGAUCAGGUGAUUCAAAAUUUGAAAAAUUACAAGUACUUUUCUUUAGCUUCAGAGGCUAUGCAACAUAAGAGACACUAUCCAAUUAAUUUCUUCAGGUAUAUUUUGUCUCAAGGGGCUUCCAUAUUUCAAAGAAAUGUUGAAAAUUUGUGCCUUAACAUUAAACUCAUAAUGUACAUAAUUUCUGAGUCUUUUACAUUUGUCAGAGUGUUCAAGGUAGAAUUGAAAGAAAAAUACUUUUUAUAAUGAUAGAUGAUGCUCCAACUGUGUUAGGUUGAAAAUGAAUUUAUUGGAUUUUUAAAAUAAGUGACUGAUAUUUCCCUUAUAUGAUGUAUAUUGAAAAUAUUUGCUUCUCCCCCUCCCCCUCCCCCUCCCCUUCUCCCUCUUUCUACGGUCUCCCUCUCUUGCUGAGCCUGGACUGUACUGCCAUGAUCUCGGCUCGCUGCAACCUCCCUGCCUCGGGUUCCCGUGACUCUCCUGCCUUGGCAUGCCGAGUGCCUGGGAUUCCAGGCAGGCCCUGCCACUCCUGACUGGUUUUUGUAUUUUUGGUGGAGACGGGGUUUCCCCAUGUUGACCGGAAAGGUCUCCAGCUCCUGGCCUCGGGUGAUCUGCCCGCCUCAGCCUCCCGAGGUGCUGGGAUUGCAGACAGAGUCUCGCUCACUCAGUGCUCAAUGUUGCCCAGGCUGGAGUGCAGUGGCGUGAUCUCAGCUUGCUACAACCUCCACCUCCCAGCUGCCUGCCUUGGCCUCCCAAAGUGCUAAGAUUACAGCCUCUGCCCACCCACCACCCCGUCUAGGAAGUGAGCAGCGUCUCUGCCUGGCCACCCAUUGUCUGGGAUGUGAGGAGCCCCUCUGCCCGGCCGCCCCGUCUGGGAAGUGAGGAACGCCUCUGCCCAGCCGCCCUGUCUGGGAAGUGAGGAGCGCCUCCGCCCGGCUGCCCGUUGUCUGGGAAGUGAGGAGUGCCUCCACCCGGCUGCCCAUCGUCUGGGAUGUGGAGCACCUCUGCCCGGCCGCCACCCCGUCUGGGAGGUGAGGAGCGCCUCUGCCCGGCCGCCCCGUCUGGGAAGUGAGGAGUGCCUCUGCUCGGCCGCCCCAUCUGGGAGGUGUACCCAACAGCUCCGAAGAGACAGUGACCAUCGAGAAUGGGCCGUGAUGACAAUGGUGGUUUUGUCGAAAAGAAAAGGGGGAAAUGUGGGGAAAAGAAAGAGAGAUCAGAUUGUUACUGUGUCUGUGUAGAAAGAAGUAGACAUAGGAGACUCCAUUUUGUUCUGUAGUAAGAAAAAUUCUUCUGCCUUGGGAUGCUGUUAAUCUAUAACCUUACCCCCAACCUCCUGCUCUCUGAAACAUGUGCUGUGUCAACUCAGGGUUAAAUGGAUUAAGGGCUGUGCAAGAUGUGCUUUGUUAAACAGAUGCUUGAAGGCAGCAUGCUCCUUAAGAGUCAUCACCACUCCCUAAUCUCAAGUACCCAGGGACACAAACACUAUGGAAGGCCACAGGGACCUCUGCCUAGGAAAACCAGAGACCUUUGUUCACGUGUUUAUCUGCUGACCUUCUCUCCACUAUUAUCCUAUGACCCUGCCACAUCCCCCUCUCCGACAAACACCCAAGAAUGAUCAAUAAAUACUAAAAAAAAAAAAAGAAAAAAAAAGAAAAAGAAAAUAUUUGUGUGGUUUGCUGGUACAGACUGUAUGAAAGUGUUUUGAUAUAGUUGUUAACAUCCUUUCAUAUGUGUGUGCAAAUGCUAUUAAUCAUUGGCAGUUUAUGGAACUGUUGAAAGAAACAGAAGACAAUGAAUUGAGUGAUCUUGUAUUCUUUGGCAAUGCUCAUUAGUUGAGCUGUGGAAGAGCUUUACAGAUUUACUGUAUUGUUAGCUCUAAUUUUCUUGAAACAAAAAGAAUGCUUGCCAAACAUUCAAUUAUUAAAGACAAAAGUGGCAGUGUGCUUUACAUUUUCUCACUGAUAUCACACCACAUAUGAAUGAGCUAAAUUUGAAGUUCCAAGGAAAGGUAAAACUUGUUUGUGACCUAACUAGACAGAUAGAACAAUUUAUAUUGAAAUAGAAACUUUUUGUAAUACAAAUCAAUAGUGAUUUUAUACUUUCUAGAGUAUGAAUUAAUAUGCAGAAUAUUUUCAUGAAAAUUGUCAAAAGUACAAGGAAAAUUUGAACACUGUUGAUAUUGAUAAAUUUACAGUUGUAUUUCAAUUUAUUAAAUACUUUUAAAAUUUGAUAUUAAUCUUGAGCAGACACGGGAGUAACAAUUCACGUAACUGAAUGUAGUUAAAUGAAUGUGGUUUUGAAAUUGAAAAUGCUUAUGCUUCAAAAUCAAAGCGAAAUUUUUUUUUUAUUUUGUUUUGUGUUGUUUUGUUUUGUUUUUGAGAUGGAGUCUCGCUCUGUCGCCCAGGUUGGAGUGCAGUGGCGCAAUCUCGGCUCACUGCCAGCUCCACCUCCCGGGUUCACGCCAUUCUCCUGCCUCAGUCUCCCGAGUAGCUGGGACUACAGGCGUCCCCCACCACGCCUGGCUAAUUUUUUGUUUUUGUAUAGUUAGUAGAGACGGGGUUUCACCAUGUUAGCCAGGAUGGUCUUGAUCUCCUGACAUCGUGAUCCACCUGCCUCGGCCUCCCAAAGUGCUGGGAUUAUGGCCACAGCGCCCGGCCAGCAAUUUUUUUUUUUAUUUUUUAAAAGAACCAGUUUGUCAAUGUAAAUGCAAAUGUUAAAGGAAAAUGAUUUUUGAAUACUUGAUGGAAUGAUUGGAAAACUUUUAGUGUUUUCGGAACAACUUGGGCAUAAAAAUCUGCUUUUUAAAUGGUAUAGUUUAUGAAAUCUAAAUCAGAUAAAGUAGUUCUAGGCAUAUAAAUUGAGAUAUUUUGUACCUAUAAAAUCCACACUGGAUUU